rnacentral:rRNA from 1 species
GGCAGGCCUAACACAUGCAAGUCGAACGGUAACAGGAAGCAGCUUGCUGCUUCGCUGACGAGUGGCGGACGGGUGAGUAAUGUCUGGGAAACUGCCUGAUGGAGGGGGAUAACUACUGGAAACGGUAGCUAAUACCGCAUAACGUCGCAAGACCAAAGAGGGGGACCUUCGGGCCUCUUGCCAUCGGAUGUGCCCAGAUGGGAUUAGCUAGUAGGUGGGGUAACGGCUCACCUAGGCGACGAUCCCUAGCUGGUCUGAGAGGAUGACCAGCCACACUGGAACUGAGACACGGUCCAGACUCCUACGGGAGGCAGCAGUGGGGAAUAUUGCACAAUGGGCGCAAGCCUGAUGCAGCCAUGCCGCGUGUAUGAAGAAGGCCCUCGGGUUGUAAAGUACUUUCAGCGGGGAGGAAGGCGAUAAGGUUAAUAACCUUGUCGAUUGACGUUACCCGCAGAAGAAGCACCGGCUAACUCCGUGCCAGCAGCCGCGGUAAUACGGAGGGUGCAAGCGUUAAUCGGAAUUACUGGGCGUAAAGCGCACGCAGGCGGUCUGUCAAGUCGGAUGUGAAAUCCCCGGGCUCAACCUGGGAACUGCAUUCGAAACUGGCAGGCUAGAGUCUUGUAGAGGGGGGUAGAAUUCCAGGUGUAGCGGUGAAAUGCGUAGAGAUCUGGAGGAAUACCGGUGGCGAAGGCGGCCCCCUGGACAAAGACUGACGCUCAGGUGCGAAAGCGUGGGGAGCAAACAGGAUUAGAUACCCCUGGUAGUCCACGCCGUAAACGAUGUCGACUUGGAGGUUGUGCCCUUGAGGCGUGGCUUCCGGAGCUAACGCGUUAAGUCGACCGCCUGGGGAGUACGGCCGCAAGGUUAAAACUCAAAUGAAUUGACGGGGGCCCGCACAAGCGGUGGAGCAUGUGGUUUAAUUCGAUGCAACGCGAAGAACCUUACCUACUCUUGACAUCCAGAGAACUUUCCAGAGAUGGAUUGGUGCCUUCGGGAACUCUGAGACAGGUGCUACAUGGCUGUCGUCAGCUCGUGUUGUGAAAUGUUGGGUUAAGUCCCGCAACGAGCGCAACCCUUAUCCUUUGUUGCCAGCGGUCCGGCCGGGAACUCAAAGGAGACUGCCAGUGAUAAACUGGAGGAAGGUGGGGAUGACGUCAAGUCAUCAUGGCCCUUACGAGUAGGGCUACACACGUGCUACAAUGGCGCAUACAAAGAGAAGCGACCUCGCGAGAGCAAGCGGACCUCAUAAAGUGCGUCGUAGUCCGGAUUGGAGUCUGCAACUCGACUCCAUGAAGUCGGAAUCGCUAGUAAUCGUGGAUCAGAAUGCCACGGUGAAUACGUUCCCGGGCCUUGUACACACCGCCCGUCACACCAUGGGAGUGGGUUGCAAAAGAAGUAGGUAGCUUAACCUUCGGGAGGGCGCUUACCACUUUGUGAUUCAUGACUGGGGUG